rnacentral:rRNA from 1 species
AAGAACCGCAUGGUCUUGGCUGAAAGAUGGCGUAAGCUAUCGCUUUUGGAUGGACCCGCGGCGUAUUAGCUAGUUGGUGAGGUAACGGCUCACCAAGGCAAUGAUACGUAGCCGAACUGAGAGGUUGAUCGGCCACAUUGGGACUGAGACACGGCCCAAACUCCUACGGGAGGCAGCAUG